CCUACGGGGCGCAGCAGUGGGGGAUAUUGCACAAUGGGGGCAACCCUGAUGCAGCGACGCCGCGUGAGCGAUGGAGUACUUCGGUAUGUAAAGCUCUGUCAGCAGGGAAGAGAAUGACGGUACCUGACCAAGAAGCCCCGGCUAAAUACGUGCCAGCAGCCGCGGUAAUACGUAGGGGGCAAGCGUUAUCCGGAUUUACUGGGUGUAAAGGGAGCGUAGACGGUGAUGCAAGUCAGAAGUGAAAGCCCGGGGCUCAACUCCGGGACUGCUUUGGAAACUUUGUGACUGGAGUGCAGGAGAGGUAAGCGGAAUGCCUGGUGUAGCGGUGAAAUGCGGAGAUAUCAGGAGGAACACCAGUGGCGAAGGCGGCUUACUGGACUGUAACUGACGUUGAGGCUCGAAAGCGUGGGGAGCAAACAGGAUUAGAUACCCUAGUAGUC
rnacentral:rRNA from 1 species